CCAGGUCCAUUCCUGGGUUCCCAGAAAAUGUCUACAAGUCAUAUAUUUUGCAGAGGCUUAUAAAGGCAAACCCAUAAGGUUACAUUUUUCUCAGCAGGUCCAAUCAGCGGCAAGCAUAUAUCCUGAAGCACUUCUUGUCUGUGUACCUCCCACUUACAUCCAAUCAGGGGCAAGCAUACAUCCUGACGUAUUUCCUGCCUACGUACCUCACACCUACAUCCAGUACGGUUAGGCCAAAUAAACUUGUUUAAGGGAGUGAAGCAUGUGGCUUGUUUUCUCCCAUAAGCAAUAGCUUCCAGCAUUUCGGGGAAAGAUCUGUCCUUGGGCAAGACACUUAAAGGUGAGCAACAGUUUUUUGUUCCAUGGAUCUCUUAGGCACAGUAAUUAAAACUUAAAACAUACCUUUUUGGCUCUUACAACGUUUGCCUUGCAAGCCAGAGGACCCGAGUUUGAUCCCCUUCAGAUCCUGUCAGCUUUUCAGGCAACGGGCAGAAUCCAGAAAGGUAACAGCACAAGGAUAUGGGAAUCUUUGCAGGACCGGUGGCUUUCCUUCCUUCCUUUUUCCAUUUAUCCUUUCUUUAGAAGGCAGAUAAGGCGGCAUUAUUGAUUGAGGAGU
ensembl:processed_transcript Gm13663 predicted gene 13663